rnacentral:rRNA from 1 species
UACGUAGGGGGCAAGCGUUGUUCGGAAUUACUGGGCGUAAAGGGCGCGUAGGCGGCACGGCAAGUCAGGAGUGAAAGCCCGGGGCUCAACCCCGGAAUGUCUUUUGAAACUGCCGAGCUAGAGUGCGGAAGAGGCAACUGGAAUUCCCAGUGUAGCGGUGAAAUGCGUAGAUAUUGGGAAGAACACCUGAGGCGAAGGCGUGUUGCUGGGCCGACACUGACGCUGAGGCGCGAAAGCCAGGGGAGCGAACGGG